UACGGAGGGUGCAAGCGUUGCUCGGAAUUAUUGGGCGUAAAGGGUAGGUAGGUGGUCUCAUUUGUCUGGGGUGAAAGCCUUGAGCUUAACUCAAGAAGUGCCCCAGAAACGGUGAGACUGGAGUCCUGGAGAGGGUCGUGGAAUUCCCGGUGUAGCGGUGAAAUGCGUAGAGAUCGGGAGGAACACCAGAGGCGAAGGCGGCGACCUGGACAGGUACUGACACUCAACUACGAAAGCGUGGGGAGCAAACAGG
rnacentral:rRNA from 1 species